UCUGAAUCAAAAAAUGAUUCAUUCACAAAUCAGACACUGUCAGGAAGGGCUAGUGUGGACUUUUCAAUGAUAGUAAAGAGAUGAAUUUCAGUCUGUUUGUCACAAAGCUAUCGUAUGGCUUCAGAAGACCUGAAAUAGAGUGCAUGAGUCAUAUAGACCACUUUAAUGAAAACAAUCCUACAAGUUUGGAACGACAUAAGGCCACUCCAUGAGAGUCUGUGCGGUGGUGCAGGGCAGCUGGGAGCGCAGUGAGUUGCGGUCCUCGUCCCUGGC